rnacentral:rRNA from 1 species
GAUGAACGCUGGCGGCGUGCCUAAUACAUGCAAGUCGAGCGAAUGGAUUAAGAGCUUGCUCUUAUGAAGUUAGCGGCGGACGGGUGAGUAACACGUGGGUAACCUGCCCAUAAGACUGGGAUAACUCCGGGAAACCGGGGGCUAAUACCGGAUAACAUUUUGAACCGCAUGGUUCGAAAUUGAAAGGCGGCUUCGGCUGUCACUUAUGGAUGGACCCGCGUCGCAUUAGCUAGUUGGUGAGGUAACGGCUCACCGAGGCAACGAUGCGUAGCCGACCUGAGAGGGUGAGCGGCCACACUGGGACUGAGACACGGCCCAGACUCCUACGGGAGGUAGCAGUAGGGAAUCUUCCGCAAUGGACGAAAGUCUGACGGAGCAACGCCGCGUGAGUGAUGAAGGCUUUCGGGUCGUAAAACUCUGUUGUUAGGGAAGAACAAGUGCUAGUUGAAUAAGCUGGCACCUUGACGGUACCUAACCAGAAAGCCACGGCUAACUACGUGCCAGCCGCCGCAGUAA